UCGACGAUUUGUCACGUCCCGCUGCGUUCCAGAGGAACGCGAAAGGUGACCUUCCGGGUUCUUAUGCUACGUGCCGGGUCAUCGGGGAAAUCCAACCGGUCCUGCGUCUCGUCAUUUAGGGAGGUGUUGGGUGCCCGGAAGCGUAAUAUGUUGAUGAUUUGUCACCUAGCGUAAAAUAUUACGCUUUGGGAGUGAGAACGUGUUGUCCAGGAAAUAUCCCCAUCCUGCAUGGAUGCCACUUCCAACAACCACAGCACUGCUACUACAACACAGAUGGUGAAAUAAUCAUAGGGGGGAUUACAUCUCACAAUUAUAACAGUAAUCGCUGCCUGGUUGAUCCAGGCUCUGGAAGUUCUCCCACCCUGCAGGAGUGUUCACUGGCAAAGAAAAAUGAACUGCACAUGCACUGGGACUUCA